AGGUAUGAUCUCAAUGUAAUAAUUAUGUAUUUGACAUCUAGCACAUUCUGCAUAGAAAAGAUACAUGUAAGUUAAAAUUUUAGUAAAGGAAUAUUUUUUUCCUCUUUUUUCCCCUUUUUAGACUUUAUGAAAAUCAGAAUUUCAUAUGAUAAAAUCUUGUUUGUUUGGCUGAAGUCCUAGAUUAGCAGAUUUCACUUUUAUGUUUAAGUACUGAUUAUCUACUAUUCCAAAGCACAAAAUACCAUUUUUUUAUUUUAACUUGGAUUUUUGUUUUGCUUAUAUUUAAAGGUUUUUUUUCAUCCUGAUUUUGACAAGACAUAGCUUAUUCUAAACUUUUAACAAUAUAAAAUGUCCUGAAAACUCAAGAAACUGAGUGCUUCAUUUUCUGGAGGCUUGAAGUGAUAAUCUUAUGGCUGCUUACCUACAAGAUGAUUGAAUGGAUAAAUAAUAGAAAUUAUGAUUAAAUAUAUCAAAUAAAUACUUUGGAAAAUUAUCUUAGAUACUUAAUAUCAGACACCCAAAAUUAGAGUUCAUCUUACAUUUUAUAUUUUUUGUCUAAAUUCCCCAGGUGUAAACACUUAUAUUUUACUUAACCAGGUUUUGUAUGAAUAUACUGCAGUAAUCACCAAGAGCCACAGGCUUACAAGAAAAUAAAAUACCUAUUUUCAUAGAAUGGUUUGAAUACUUGUACAUUAAGUGGGGACUGGGUCUUGAGCAGUGGUAAAACAAACUAUUUGAAUAACUUCUUCUGAAUUAGGUGCAACAAACUAUGCAAGAAGUUCAUCAUGAAACCAAGUAUCCAGAAUCAUUUCACAGUGAAGUUGCACAAGUUUUUGCCAACACUGGGUGGAACAGUACUGGUCAAUAAAGGAAAUAUUGGGAGCUAAGUAGCAGCAAUUUAAGGUGAACAGAGAACACGUCUGACAUAUAACUUAACUCACUUUGGAAAGCUACGUGGCCCAAUGGGAUUCAUCUCAGGGUACCCAAAGAGCUGGACUCCAUAAGUACAGAAGAUGUUGGAAACAUUUUUCUUGGAUCUGGACAAUACUUCUGCAGUCUUUAAUUGGACUUCUGCAAUGUGUUCAGCCUGACACUACAGCUACAAGUAAACUGCAGAAAAAUAUCGUUAAUUCAUGGUAAGUGGAAUUACUCUUCUAAAAGUGUCGAGGUCACUGACUGAGAUGUGAGAAGGUC
rnacentral:lncRNA from 1 species